rnacentral:rRNA from 1 species
UACGUAGGGUGCAAGCGUUAAUCGGAACUACUGGGCGUAAAGGGUGCGCAGGCGGCUCCGCAUGUCAGGCGUGAAAGCCCCGGGCUUAACCUGGGAAUGGCGCUUGAAACUACGGAGCUGGAGUGUGGCAGAGGGAGGUGGAAUUCCACGUGUAGCGGUGAAAUGCGUAGAGAUGUGGAGGAACACCGAUGGCGAAGGCAGCCUCCUGGGCCAACUCUGACGC